rnacentral:tRNA from 1 species
GGAGCUGUGGCAUAGUGGGUAAUGCCACAGCCUGUAGUGUCAGUACCCCAGAUGGGUGCUGGUUCGAGUCCUGGCUGCUCCA